CCUUCCCAUCCUGUGGGUCUGUCCCUCUGGACAGAGCGCCCAACCCUCAGUGCAUGGCUGUUUUUCACCUGCUGCCUGCAUCCACCUCUGACCUGGACUCCUUUUGGCCUGUGCAAUUCCCGUCUAUCUCUGGGUCACUGGCCCCACACAGCUUGUGUUUCUCUGCGUCAGUUUCCUCUCUUAAGCCUCCUGUGCCCUUUUCCCUGAGCCAUUCCCUUUCCUCUUCAAGCCCACAUCCUAGCAUCAGAGUAAGAGGCCUGAAGGAGAGGCUGGAGGUGGUGGUAACAAGUGCAUGAUUGAAAAAGGUGGCUUCUCUGUAUCCUCUCGGCACAGAAAGGACCGGCCUGUACAUUCAGGACCAUCAGACAGCUCCUGUCCGGAAAUCCUGAGGUUGAUAGACACGGGCCCAUCAGCCUUGUGAUUAGUACAGAAAAGGGUCACUUGCUGAAGAACCAAGAGCAGACCCACCCGAGAUCCCUGCUUUUCUGAAGACAGUGUCCCAGGGAGACAGCAAGACAAGCCAUUUCACGUCUUGUGAGGGACCCAACUCCCCUGUUUCAUCUUCCCGUUCUCUCCCUAGCAUAUCUGUGUUCUGUCCCCCCACUCCCAACAUAUGGAGCCUGGCAUUUACCAGAUGCUGAUGGCCCAGGCAGAUUUAGGGGAAGAUCUUUCCUGGCAGACAAACAGCAAGGGGGAAUCCUCCUGCGAGCAUGUCUGGCACGCUGGAGGAACUGCAUUGAAGCCGAUGUGACUGGAGUAGGGAAAAUAAGGAAGGGAAUGAGCUGUGGCUUCUUAGAGGUCACGGGAAGCUAAUCACGAUCGUGUUGGGGACUAAUGAGUCACAGCAAAACUUCCACUCACACUCUGAAUGAACAGGGAGCCAUUGGAGAGUCAGGGCCUGAGAGUGAUGCCGCCAUGUUGAGAAUGCAGUGGGGAGCGAGGACGUCCAAGAGAGCACUGUAGCAGCGAGGAGAGAGUGGGGCCUGGGCCAGGAGGAUGCAGUGGAGCAUCAUGGAAAGCACAGUCUGGAUGGAUUUUGCAGAGUCAGCUGUAGGGGGGUUUGCGGUGAGUCAGAUGGGAACUAUGAAAGCAGUAAAGUCAAGCAUAAACUAAGAGGUGUUUUGUGUUGUUUUGCUUCCCAUCAGUGACCAGAAUAUGGAACUUGCCAUCACCUGGUGUCAUGGAGUACCAAGAAGCUGGCCUCAGGAGACAUGCUUUGGACACAUUUAGUGGAAACUGAGGCCUUGAGAAACGAUUUGCUUGGGGACUCCUGCCAGCAAGUGACCAGGACUGACUGUUCCUCAUGUACCUGCCCUGCCACAGGCAGCAGAGGGCUACUGAGCACAGGACUAUGCCCAUCCAUGAGACAGAGGCUCGAAGGAGACAACAGAGGUACACAGAGGCUUGCAUGUGGAACCAAUUGGUCCCCAGCUGGGGGCGCUGUUUUAGGACGUGGUGGAAACUUUAGGAGGCGGGGCUUAGAUGGAGGAGCACAACUGGGGCAUACCUCUGAAGGGUCCUGUUCCUGGCGGAUGUAAGGUAAGUAGCUCUGUUCCCUACCUCAUCACAACUGUGAUGCUCUGCUUCAGUGGACACAGUGUUGCCCCAUCCAUAGCUAAAGGCCUGGGACUGUGAGCAGAGACAUGGCCCUUUAAGCUGUUCCUCAAGGUAUGGUCACAGUGACAGGAAACCCAACACUACCCCAGAUGAAUUCUUCAUUGUUCAACUAAGGGCGGCAUGUCUCAGGGAAAAGAGCCUGGGUAAAAGAAAAUCUAGGUUCUGAUUCGGACGCAAGUCUCUUCUUUCUGGGCCUUAGUUUCCUCAUGUGUAAGACAUGGAGCUGGGAUCUGUAAACUUCAAGGGUCCUUUAUAAUGAGUGCGAGACAGUGAUAAUAGCCAAUGUAUUUGACCCCUAGGAUGUGCCGGGUGCUACGUGCUGUGCAUGUUCCAUAGGUUGUCCUAUUUAAGAUUCAACCACAUGAUUGCGCAGUAUUGCGUAAUUACAUAGUGAAACUUGUUCUCCAGAAGAGACAGUCCUAUGAGGAAACUAAGGCACAGAGAAGCUAAGUAACUGAGGCCUGUAUGCAGCAAAGGCAGAUUCAGGACCCAAGCAACUCCUAUCCAGGGCUCUCAGUCACAUGGGGGCUGGAUCCAUGUCUCUUAACCAGGGUUGAGAACCUAGCCCUGCUGUCUGUGGGCCAAUAUUCCACUUGGUUCAGCCACCUAUUCACUCAGGACAGUGGCAUCAUCUAGCCUUUUGGAGGCCACUGGGGUCUGCUGAGCUCAGGCUGGAUGACAGAGUGCCUUACCACAUACACUUAUAGAAAUGGCCUUAGGGCAGCAUGGGGAUUCUUUUUGUUUGUUUUGUUUUGUUUUCUUAUUUUGAGAGAGGGACUUGGUGUGUAGUUCAGUCUGAUUUUGAACCGGAGAUCCCCCUGCUUCAGCCUCCUGAGUCCUGGGAUUGCAGGCACAUGCUGCCAUGUGAGGCCAAAACAUGGCUUCUUGGAGGAGGCCUUGGAAAACUGAGAAGAGGUUUAACUUUGCAGAGAGGGGCUCGGGAAGCUCUGAGGGUUCUUGGCCAGAGCAUCACAUGUAUAAUACUGUAGAAAAAUCUCUUCCCUGGGUUGGGGAUGUGGCUGCAUGGUAGAACACUUCCCAAGCAACAGUGAGGUUCAACUCCAAGAACUGGAAAAAAAAAAAAAAAAGCUGGCUUUUUAGCCAGGUGCAGUAACACACGUCUCUAAUCCUAGUGCUUGGAGUCUUAGGCAAGAGGAUUGUGGGUUUGAGGCUGGACUGUGUUACACAGUGAGACUUGUUCUCCAGAAGAAAAAGUCCAAAGCCCUUGUCUGUCUCUCAUCUGUCCCAGGAGGCCUUGUGCCAGGAGCGGGAGUAGCCCAGCCCACAGAGCCCUGAGUGCUGCCCCUACCCCACCCCAUGCCACACACAGUUCUUCCGCUCAGUAUUACAUCCGAUUCUGCAAGGCUGUGCUGCUUGAACUCCGUGUUGGAUUAGACUUCUUCCUCAGAAGACAAUUUAUGGCGACAUGUCGGAGACUCUGUUUUAAUGAAGUUGCAAAAGUAGGUUAAUGGGCUGUGGGUGUUUUUCAUCCCCUCCCCCUGCCCCAUCUCCACCCCUGGGCAGAUGAGUGAUGUAUCUACCAGUAAGAGGCAGAGUCGGAUCCAGCCUGGACUCACAAGCUCACACAUCCAUCCUUGGCAGCCCCCUAGGCUCCUCAGUCUCGGUCAUCUCUGCCACUAGGUAGGAGCUCAGGAUGUCUAGCCCUAGUUCCUCGGAUGCUUGGAUGGAUCUCCCUCUCCUGCAUUGAGGGAGGGGUAGGCCAUAAGUUGAGUGAGGAUUCUGGAAAGAAGAAAGCUAGAAUGCAGGAGAAUGAGUGUCUUUGGACAUUGGGGGCCAGGAUGUAUAGACCUGUGGUGAGCAUGAAUGCUAGUGGCCUUAAAUGUCUAGGUCAGGGAAUGGAGGGGGGAAACUGAGUUUCUGGAGCUCUUCCGGUGCCCUUCCUGCCUCUCAGGUUCAUGUCUUUGUCUCCUGGUCCUGUGCCUGCUGUAUAGCUGCUCUUACCAUGAACCAUAGGAACAGGAGGCUCUUUCUCUACCCCAAGUCUCAAGGGCAUCCUUGCUUGUCUCUGAAUGGACCUCAGUUUUCUUCUCAAAGACUGUCCCUAUGCACCUCUCCACCCAGUCCCUGCCCAUACAUCCAUCUCAGGAAGUUUGACAGGAUUAAGCUGUGGAAAACGUUCCUGUUUGCUUGCCUGGAUAUUCAGUGAAGGUCUGUCAUCCCUGGUAGUUUGGGAUUUCCUGUGAGAAGGCUCCAGAUCUUCCUCAUGGACUCUCCCUGUGUCAGGAAUACCUAAGGCAGGAUUCUCAGCAAGAAAGGGAGCCCAGAGCUUGCUUGGGAACACAUAAACAUACCCUGCAGGAUCUUGCUGGAAACCACACCCCUCUGCCUGGUCCUUCCACCCUGCAGGAAGUCUGCUCUGUAGUCACCCAGAGCAGCAAGGGUCCUUCCUGGGCUUAAGACCUUCACAGCCAACGAAUGAGGCUGUGGAUCACGGUUUGGAUUUGGACACUGGGACAGGGUAGAACAUGACUCAGCUGCCUGGCAACUUCAUUUCCUACCUCUGUGGACACCUUUGUCCUCCUUCCCAAGGCCCCUCACUCUCUCCUGCCUUUACAAAACUCUUCCCCUUAGAGAUCAAACACUGCCUGCAACUGAACACAGGCUGCUUUGGAUGGGCUCUCCCUCCAUGCACGUCUUCUCAUAUCCUUCCUAUGCUUUCUCCCCAACUCAGACAGGUCUUCACAACUUUUCCUGGUCCUUGCUCCUACUGAGUGUUGCUAGGGGCAAGCCAUGGUGUGUCCACAGAGCGCCCCUGGGCUCCUACAGGACUUAAGUUGUGACUGCAGGAUCUAGUCAGUGCUUCCUUGUCAGGUGGUCCAAGUAGCGCGGCAGGAAUCAACUGGGUCUGGUCGUAUCUGGAGAUUGGUGAUGGUAUGGCAUCUUUCCCUGGUCCCAGUUGAGGGACUCCUUCCCUUAAGAUGUCAGACAGGAUUCAAGAGCAAGGCAAGUCAGAUGUCUCCUGUGUAUAGAAUGAAACCUAGAACUAUGCUUGUAUUCCCUGGAGCUUCUGUGGGAUUUCCCCUGAUGCAGAAGGGCCAGGAUUUCCAUGGCCACACAUGUACACAUGUGGAGCUGUUGGGGUGUGGGUUUAUAGGGAAGGGAGCAGUAGUGAACACAUAGGUUAGGGGGAGCAGAGCCCAUGUCUGGUGAAAGAAAAGAGACAUCUAGGACCUGACUUAGGAAUGGCUCAAGGUGUACAGGGAGAGAUAGGAGAGUAGAAACAAGGGUUUUAAUUCGGGAGGGUUGUGUGGAGGAGGAGAGCUGGCUUCGAAUCGAAAAAGAAGACACCAACAAAGGGAAUUUCUGAGAUGGGGCAAGCAUAUGAGGCUGAGUUGGAAGACUUUGAGACCCCAGUUGACUGCUGCUUUGAGGGUUCUUUCCCCCUCGUUUGUAAAGAGGGAUAAAUAGCAUGGGAUAUUCCUGAUUUUAUUCAAAAAGCUCUCUCUGUCUGUCUGUCUGCCUGUCUGUCUGUCUCGCUCUCUCUCAGUGUGUGUGUGUGUGUGUGUGUGUGUGUGUGUGUGUGUUUUGUCUAUACGAAAACUACUCUAAAGUCUACAGGAAGCCUGGGAUUUAAUAUAAACAAACACUGUCAGCUUCUUCCUUCAUGUGACAGAGCAAGUAUUAAUGUAGCUAAGACAGCAGUCCAGCGUUAAGUCUGCCACCAUCCAGUUUGUUCAAGAGGCCUCAGUUUCCCCUACAUCAAUCUCACAUAAUAAUUUAUAAAAUUCAAGGUCCUAAUGAGUAUGGGGAAGAUCAUAAGUCCCAGGAGCCACCGUGGGCUCCGGGAAGGGUGAGGGCUCCUUGGUGGGAGAACCAGGGGCUUUGACAUGACUGUGAGUCUCAGUCUUUCUAGGCUAGGACCCCUGGCAGGAAAAUGGGCAUGUAGCCCACCCCUCGAACAGCCUGUGCGCCAAGGCUACAUUCCCUUCCCCCUUCCCGAUCCACUC